CGAGCUACUCGAGCUCGACUCGUAAACGAGUUCGAGAACGAGUCGACCUCGAGUUCAUGAGUCGACUCGUUCAAAUGAUCGAGUCGAGUUCGAGUUCAUUGAACUUGAAGUGUUAAAGCUCGACUCGGCUUGUUAAUGUCACUGACUCGUUUUUUCAAUUGAAAAACCAGUUUCCCAACUCGAUUUUUUCCGACUCGUUUGUCUUAGACGGGAAACUUUGCUUUUCACUUUUCAACGUUUCCUUUUGUUCUCUCUCUCUCUCUCUCUCUCGUUUUGAAACUUUUUGCGCCCAAAUGCAACCCUAACUCCUGCUUUCCUCCACGUACAGCUAGGGGUGAACACGAGCCGAGUUGUGCCCGAGUUCAGUCAGCUUGAACUCGGCUCGAUAUAAUGAAACAUUGAGCUCAACUCAGCUCGAGAAUAAUUCAACGGCAGCAGCUCGAGCUCGAGAACAACUCAACGGUAGCAGCUCGAGCUCGACUCGAUUAAGGCUCAACAAACUUGACAAAUUCAAACUAAUGCUAUUAAGAAAACCAAUUUUUCCCAAAUUCUGUCCGCUUUAUCUGAUGAUAAAAAAUGACGGGUUUUGCAAGGUUGGUGUACCUACUAGGAGCAGUUUGUAGUUGAGAAUGGACUAGUGAAUGGGGAGCCAGAAUCAUCGUCUACCUGUGUCACCUAUUGGCAGCUACUGGCUGCAAUAAUUCCAGGAACGAAUGCUUUUUGGAAGCCAAUCAUAACUUGUUUGCAAGAUGCAGUGUUGUACGUAUCGUACGAUACGACCCCGUAUCAUACGAUACGUACCGUAUCGUUUUAAAAAAAUGGUAUGAUACUGUUAAGGCUUUUAGGCCUCUCUUGUGUAUUCUUCUCUUGAGAUUAAUAUAUUUGGUAUCUUCUCCUCAAGUUUGAGGUUUGGCUUUGUAUUAUCUAUUGAAGUUGUUGGGAUCUUCAAGAGUGUAUCUCUUGAAGCAUUUGCAUUCUCAAGAUCGGGCCUGAUUUACAGAUACACCCCCCAUAUCGUAAAUAGGGGGUGUAUCGUACGAUACGGGGCGAUACACCCCCGUAUCGUAUGAUAUGGGCUGAUUUCGCAAAAGGGGGCCCGAGACCUACUUAUUCGGCUUCUUUUUGAAGAAAAGCCUCCGUUCUUCAUUUCUCAAGCUCGGAUACUGCCGUCAGGGAGGGUGAUCGUCCAUUUUCACCAUCACAAAGUUGAUUUUCACCGUGAAAUUGAAGAUCAAGUGGUCGAUUUGUGCGUGGGUUGUUGAUUUUCAUUGGGAGGAAAGGGGUUUUCUUCAUUUCUUCUUCGUAAGGUAUGAAAUCUCAUGUUUUUACCAUGUAUUCAUAAUUUUUUACCGUAUAAUCGUAGAUUGAAAGAUUUUGAGUGUUUUUCAUCAAGUUUACCAUAGGAUUUCGUUUUUUUUUUUUUGAAGAUAUGGAUCCCACAUGGCAAUGGUGCGAAAGGGUGAAGGAGAAUAACCGCUUGGAACUCAAAUGUAGCUUCUGUGGGAAUACAUUUUCAUGAGGGAUUAGUAGAAUGAAACACCAUUUGGCAAGGACCUCCAAAGAUGUGUCUCCUUGUGUUGGAGGAUCAAACAAACUUUUGCCUUCAUAUGUGCGUCAACAAUAUUUAGAUAUGCUUCAUGUUUUACAUCAAAAGAGGAUACAGAAAGAAAUUGAAGAGGCAGAUGUAGGCUAUAAUGAGCCUUUGGAAGAUGAAGAAGAGGAAGAAGCUUAUGAAUGUGAUGAUGAAGGUGAUAGCAUUCUAAGAACAGAUUUGGAGACCUCAAGAGGUAGAGAUGGUAGAGGAAAAGGGAUCAUGUGUGAAGGAGGUCGAUUUGGCGUAACAGGAAGGAAGAGAAGAGGCACAGCAGAUAGGGCCAGGCGUGGUAUGCGACCACCUAGUGGUAGAGUUCCUACUGGUAGGUCUAGUGUUGGCUCUAUUAAAAGCUUUUUCCCUUCAUAUACUAGCCCAGGUGGUCAGCCGCAGAUUCGUGCUGCUAUGACAUCUAAAGAUAUGCUAUAUCAAGCACAAAAGAUGGUAGGAAAAUGGUUUUAUGAUGCAUGUAUUCCAUUUAAUGCAGCUAAUUCUUUUCAAUUCCAAGCCAUGACAGAUGCAAUUGCUUCUAUAGGCCCCAGAUUCAAAAUGUCAUCAUAUCAUUAGUUGAGGGGUAAAAUUCUUCAAGAUACAAGUGUCUGAACAUUGCGAUCAAUUGAAAUUAUCUUGGAAGGAAACAUGUUGCUCCAUUAUGUCAGAUGGAUGGACUGAUACUAGGUCAAGAACACUUGUAAAUUUUUUUGUUUAUUGCCCUAAAUGUACAAUGUUCUUGAAAUCUCUUGACUUGUCUGAUGUUCCUAAGACUGCUGAGAUUUUGUUCAAUGUUUUUGAUAAUGUCGUACAAGAAGUUGGACCUGCAAACAUUGUUCAGUUUAUUACAGAUAAUGCUGCAAAUUAUAGAGCUGUAGGAGAUUUGUUAUUUCAAAAGGAUGGAACAUUCUUUUGGAGUCCAUGUGCCACUCAUUGUGUUAAUCUUAUGCUUCAAGAUUUUAAUGAGAUGCAUGAUAUGAAAUCAGCCAUUGACUAAUGUCAAGAGGUAACCAAAUUUGUCUAUAAUCAUGCAUAUAUGUAUUGAGUUUGAUGAGAAAGUUUACAAAAGGAGUUGAAUUGAUACGACAUGCACAAACUAGAUUUGCCACAAAUGUAUUGACUGUGCAGAGUGUAGUGAAACAAAGAACUCCUUUGAGGCAGAUGUUCGCUAGUGAAGAAUGGGCUGCAUAUCCACAUGCUCAUAAAAGAAAUGUUUCUUUAGUUGUGGAUAUCAUAUUUAAUAAUGAAUUUUGGGAAUCAUGUGUGAAACUAUUGAAAGUUUGUGUUCCAUUAGUGAAAGUCCUCAGGUUAGCUGACAGCGAGGAUAGGCCUUCCAUAGGGUACUUAUAUGAGGCCAUGGAUAAAGCAAAAGAGGCAAUUCGAGACAACUUAAAAGGAAAGAAAAAGUUAUAUAUGCCCAUAUGAAAGAUGAUAGAUAAAAGGUGGACUUAACAGCUUCAUCAACCUCUUCAUGCACAACUUACUGUCUAAAUCCUGCAAUUAGAUUUUCUCCUACAUUUAAGAAGGACAGAGAAGUCUUAAGUGGUUUGUUGGAUUGUAUUAACGUGUUAGUGGCAGAUUCUAGAGAGCAAGAUGCCGUCAGCAAUGAGUUGGAUCUAUAUGAUACUUGUUAUCGGGGCAUGGGACAACCUGUCGUCGUUUGAGCCAGGACAACCAUGCGUCCAGAUUUGUGGUGGAAUAGGUAUGGGUUUGAUUGUCCAAACCUAGCACGUUUUGCAAUCAAAGUCCUCAGCCAGACAUGCAGUGCUAGUGGAUGCGAAAGGAACUAAAGUGUGUUCCAACAUAUUCAUAGCAAAAAAAGGAAUAGGCUCGAACAUAAAAGGUUGAAUGACCUUGUCUUUGUUUGAUAUAAUAUGAGGUUGAAACAAAGAGAAUUAUAAAAAACAACAGCAAGGAAGCACACAUCUCAGUUCGAUCCUAUCAGCUUGGAAAACUUUGACGAUCUGGAGCCAUGGAUUGAGGAAGAACCAACUAUAAUAUUUGAUGAUGAAGAUC